rnacentral:rRNA from 1 species
GAGUUUGAUCAUGGCUCAGAUUGAACGCUGGCGGCAGGCCUAACACAUGCAAGUCGAACGGUAACAGGAAGCAGCUUGCUGCUUCGCUGACGAGUGGCGGACGGGUGAGUAAUGUCUGGGAAGCUGCCUGAUGGAGGGGGAUAACUACUGGAAACGGUAGCUAAUACCGCAUAAUGUCGCAAGACCAAAGAGGGGGACCUUCGGGCCUCUUGCCAUCGGAUGUGCCCAGAUGGGAUUAGCUUGUUGGUGGGGUAACGGCUCACCAAGGCGACGAUCCCUAGCUGGUCUGAGAGGAUGACCAGCCACACUGGAACUGAGACACGGUCCAGACUCCUACGGGAGGCAGCAGUGGGGAAUAUUGCACAAUGGGCGCAAGCCUGAUGCAGCCAUGCCGCGUGUAUGAAGAAGGCCUUCGGGUUGUAAAGUACUUUCAGCGGGGAGGAAGGGAGUAAAGUUAAUACCUUUGCUCAUUGACGUUACCCGCAGAAGAAGCACCGGCUAACUCCGUGCCAGCAGCCGCGGUAAUACGGAGGGUGCAAGCGUUAAUCGGAAUUACUGGGCGUAAAGCGCACGCAGGCGGUUUGUUAAGUCAGAUGUGAAAUCCCCGGGCUCAACCUGGGAACUGCAUCUGAUACUGGCAAGCUUGAGUCUCGUAGAGGGGGGUAGAAUUCCAGGUGUAGCGGUGAAAUGCGUAGAGAUCUGGAGGAAUACCGGUGGCGAAGGCGGCCCCCUGGACGAAGACUGACGCUCAGGUGCGAAAGCGUGGGGAGCAAACAGGAUUAGAUACCCUGGUAGUCCACGCCGUAAACGAUGUCGACUUGGAGGUUGUGCCCUUGAGGCGUGGCUUCCGGAGCUAACGCGUUAAGUCGACCGCCUGGGGAGUACGGCCGCAAGGUUAAAACUCAAAUGAAUUGACGGGGGCCCGCACAAGCGGUGGAGCAUGUGGUUUAAUUCGAUGCAACGCGAAGAACCUUACCUGGUCUUGACAUCCACGGAAGUUUUCAGAGAUGAGAAUGUGCCUUCGGGAACCGUGAGACAGGUGCUGCAUGGCUGUCGUCAGCUCGUGUUGUGAAAUGUUGGGUUAAGUCCCGCAACGAGCGCAACCCUUAUCCUUUGUUGCCAGCGGUCCGGCCGGGAACUCAAAGGAGACUGCCAGUGAUAAACUGGAGGAAGGUGGGGAUGACGUCAAGUCAUCAUGGCCCUUACGACCAGGGCUACACUCGUGCUACAAUGGCGCAUACAAAGAGAAGCGACCUCGCGAGAGCAAGCGGACCUCAUAAAGUGCGUCGUAGUCCGGAUUGGAGUCUGCAACUCGACUCCAUGAAGUCGGAAUCGCUAGUAAUCGUGGAUCAGAAUGCCACGGUGAAUACGUUCCCGGGCCUUGUACACACCGCCCGUCACACCAUGGGAGUGGGUUGCAAAAGAAGUAGGUAGCUUAACCUUCGGGAGGGCACUUACCACUUUGUGAUUCAUGACUGGGGUGAAGUCGUAACAAGGUA